UACAGAGGUCCCAAGCGUUGUUCGGAUUCACUGGGCGUAAAGGGUGCGUAGGCGGUGGGGUAAGUCGGAUGUGAAAGCUCGGAGCUCAACUCCGAAAUGGCAUUGGAAACUACCCUGCUAGAGGAUUGGAGGGGGGACUGGAAUACUUGGUGUAGCAGUGAAAUGCGUAGAUAUCAAGUGGAACACCAGUGGCGAAGGCGAGUCCCUGGACAAUACCUGACACUGAGGCACGAAAGCUAGGGGAGCAAACAGG
rnacentral:rRNA from 1 species